rnacentral:snRNA from 1 species
UGGGAGGUUCCGCUUUGGACCAGUCAUGGAGGCUGGAGUGACAGUUGAGAAGAUCUUGCAGGUGCAUGCUAGCAACAGUGAGCGCACGGCCAGGCUCUGCGGCAAGCAGUCGAGCAAACUUGGUCGCGACAUCUCAAAUGCUCUCAU